ACAGAGGUGCCAAGCGUUAGGCGGAAUCACUGGGCUUAAGGCGUGUGUAGGCGGAUUGGUAAGUACCUUGUGAAAUCCCACAGCUCAACUGUGGAACUGCUUGGUAUACUGCUUAUCUUGAGCCACUUAGGGGCUGUCGGAACAAAUGGUGGAGCGGUGAAAUGCGUAGAUAUCAUUUGGAACGCCAAUGGUGAAAACAGACAGCUGGGAGUGUGCUGACGCUGAGACACGAAAGCCAGGGGAGCGAACGGGA
rnacentral:rRNA from 1 species